CUUGCCCCUAGAAGCCUUACAAGUGUGGCUGCUGUGUCACAUGUGAAUCAGUAGGUGGCAGAGAGGACAGAGGCUAUUUCUAUGUUCAGUGUUCUGACUUAUGUACAUCUGAAUGAGUAGUAGCCUAACAUU
ensembl:snoRNA small nucleolar RNA SNORA17